rnacentral:rRNA from 1 species
GACGAACGCUGGCGGCGUGCUUAACACAUGCAAGUCGAACGGGAAGUCCCUGCCUUUUUGGGGUGCUCUGGUUGCCAACUGGUGACUAACCCUUGGGUAACCUGCCCUUGACUUUGGGAUAACUUCAUGAAACUUGGUCUAAUACCAGAUAAGAUCUCCUGCUUCUUGGUGGGGGUGGGAAGGUUUCGGCGGUUGGUGAUGGACUCGCGGCUUAUCGGCUUGUUGGUGGGGUAGUGGAUUACCAAGCCCUGGACGGGUAGCCGGCCUGCGCGGGUCAGCGGACCAAUUGGGAUUGAGAUAAGGCACAGACUAGUAUGGGACGCAGGAGUGGGGAAUAGUGUAAUAUGGGAGGAAGCAUGAUGCAGCAACGCAGCGUGCGGGAUGACGGGAAUGGGGUUGUAAACUGAUUUCGUCUGUGCCGAAGAGUGAGUGACGGUAAUGGGUAAAGAAGCACCGGCUAACUACGUG